UACGUAGGGACCAAGCGUUGUUCGGAUUUACUGGGCGUAAAGGGCGCGUAGGCGGCGCGGUAAGUCACUUGUGAAAUCUCUGAGCUUAACUCAGAACGGCCAAGUGAUACUGCAGUGCUAGAGUGUGGAAGGGGCAAUCGGAAAUUCUUGGUGUAGCGGUGAAAUGCGUAGAUAUCUGGAGGAACACCCGUGGCGAAGGCGGCUCUCUCGGGAGCGGUACUGACGCUGAGACGCGAAAGCGUGGGGAGCGAACAGG
rnacentral:rRNA from 1 species